rnacentral:rRNA from 1 species
UGGGGAAUAUUGCACAAUGGAGGGAACUCUGAUGCAGCGACGCCGCGUGAGUGAUGAAGGAAUUCGUUUCGUAAAACUCUGUUCUAUGGGAAGAAAAGGACUGUACCAUAGGAGAAAGCUCCGGCUAAAUACGUGCCAGCAGCCGCGGUAAUACGUAUGGAGCGAGCGUUGUCCGGAAUUAUUGGGCGUAAAGGGUACGCAGGCGGCUUUACAAGUUGGAUGUGAAAUAUUGUGGCUCAACCACAAACGUGCAUCCAAAACUGCAAAGCUUGAGUUAAGGAGAGGUAAGUGGAAUUCCUGGUGUAGCGGUGGAAUGCGUAGAUAUCAGGAGGAAUACCGGUGGCGAAGGCGACUUACUGGACUUAAACUGACGCUCAGGCACGAAAGCGUGGGGAGCAAACAGG